CCCACCCUGGAACGGGUUGUUCCACGCCUGUGGGACAGAAAUUUCCAAAAUUUUAAGACAAAAAUGCCCCUUGUCUUUUUCAAAAUUUACAUCAAAAAUCAUAUAACAAACCCUAAAAACUAUCCCUCUUCUUCUCAGCCGUCGUGUUCCUCCCUCUGCAUCUUCCCUUUCCUCCUCAUCUUCUUCCCUGUAGCCUCUUCACCUCUGCAUCUUCCGUGUAGCAGCUCUGCGAACCUUCCUCCUCAUCCUCUUCCGUAGCAUCUUCAGCUCUGCAUCUCGGUUCCAGAGUGCAGCAAAAUACUAGUUUUUUUUGGCGAUUCUCAUCUGGGUCUGGUACAUUUUUUUCUUUGGUUUCUGUUUCCGCUUUCAAUCUGUCUUUCUGUUCUCAAAUUCAAUUUAGGAAAUUAGGCAUCUUGCAAGAGGUUCUGCAAGAACGUUGUUCCCUUCCUUAUCAAUUUGGAGCAUGAACUAAGGAAUAUAAUGAGGUUAUUGCCCAAGAGGUUCUGCAAAAACGUUGGCUCCAGAAAUCUGGGAAUACCUGGUCACAGGAGGUUUUGCAUUCGAAACCUCCAAUCCCAAUUCCCAACUUCUUUGUUCAUUUUCAAGUUGUAGGUUUGUCUGCAUUUCCCUAAAAAAACAAACAAACUAUGUCAAAUUUUGUACAGUUGUUGGCGAUACUAGGCAAUAGAGAUUAUUUAUUAUCAAGUGAGAUCUGAUACUCUCAUGAAGUUCUGUUUCAACAUAUGCAAUCAAGUAAUUUGCAAUAAAUUUAUCUCCAAUCUAAUCACAGAAUCUUGUUUUAUUCAUUUUCAUACAUAUUCUUAUUUUGAUUGGGUUCACUUUUGGAGGUAUUGCAAGCUAGACAUCUUUUACUUGUUUUCUCCGGCUUGAAGAGGAUUGUAAGAAGUGUUUUUAUUACUGUCUGAGAUCCACAACUUGUGUUUGUAACUAGUUUAUUUUCGUCUUUGAAAAGCAUCUAUAUAAAUGUCAUAGAAGUGUUGGAUGCCUAGCUUUAGGAGAGCAUCCUUCUCCACAUUCUCAAAGGUUCAAAAUUGAUAGCCUAGAAAGAUAGCCUGCUGGUGAACACUUUCCUGUAAUCCAGGUAUGUAUUACUCUGCCAAGUAAUCCUAGACUAUCUUGCGAAGCAUGAAAACAAUGUGCAAAGAGGCUAGUAUCCAAGAAAGGAUGGACUUGAAUAGGUGAUUACUUAAAUACAUAUCAAUCUGCAAUUUGGUGUUUCUUGAGUGCAGUUGUUUUAAAAUUAUUUGCAUUGGUAAAGAACAAUGGUUCAUUCUAAAUGUCAAUGGACUAAUCCAUCUGAUGCAUUUUGUUUUCCAGAUUCGGGAAACCGUCCCUUUCAGAUUUUUGGCCAAAUAUGGACUCAAUGGAGGGAUGAUCUUGCAAGAGAAAUAUAUGAUGAGUGGAGAGGAAGGAGGGCUUGAAAAUUGGUUAACAUGGUAGUUGUUGUAAUUGUCUUUUAGAUGUGGACUCAAUGUAGUUGUUGUAAUUGGCUUGAAAAUUCGUAACAUCAAGACUAUUGAGAUGUUUGUUAUUGUAAUAUGGUAAUUGGGAGUUAUCUAGAUAUUAUGGCUUAUUUGAUA